rnacentral:rRNA from 1 species
ACCUCGGAUCAGGUAGGAAUACCCGCUGAACUUAAGCAUAUCAAUAAGCGGAGGAAAAGAAACCAACAGGGAUUGCCCCAGUAACGGCGAGUGAAGCGGCAACAGCUCAAAUUUGAAAUCUGGCCUCACGGCCCGAGUUGUAAUUUGCAGAGGAUGCUUUUGGCGCGGCGCCUUCCGAGUGCCCUGGAACGGGACGCCAUAGAGGGUGAGAGCCCCGUCUGGUUGGAUGCCUAGCCUCUGUAAAGCUCCUUCGACGAGUCGAGUAGUUUGGGAAUGCUGCUCAAAAUGGGAGGUAUAUGUCUUCUAAAGCUAAAUAUUGGCCAGAGACCGAUAGCGCACAAGUAGAGUGAUCGAAAGAUGAAAAGCACUUUGAAAAGAGGGUUAAAUAGUACGUGAAAUUGUUGAAAGGGAAGCGCUUGUGACCAGACUUGGGCUUGGUGAAUCAUCCGGCGUUCUCGCCGGUGCACUUUGCCUGUCCAGGCCAGCAUCAGUUCGCUCCGGGGGAUAAAGGCGUGGGGAAUGUGGNUCCUCCGGGAGUGUUAUAGCCCCGCGUGUAAUACCCUGUGGCGGACUG